UUUGAUCCUGGCUCAGAUUGAACGCUGGCGGCAGGCCUAACACAUGCAAGUCGAACGGUAACAGGAAGCAGCUUGCUGCUUUGCUGACGAGUGGCGGACGGGUGAGUAAUGUCUGGGAAACUGCCUGAUGGAGGGGGAUAACUACUGGAAACGGUGGCUAAUACCGCAUAACGUCGCAAGACCAAAGAGGGGGACCUUCGGGCCUCUUGCCAUCAGAUGUGCCCAGAUGGGAUUAGCUUGUUGGUGAGGUAACGGCUCACCAAGGCGACGAUCCCUAGCUGGUCUGAGAGGAUGACCAGCCACACUGGAACUGAGACACGGUCCAGACUCCUACGGGAGGCAGCAGUGGGGAAUAUUGCACAAUGGGCGCAAGCCUGAUGCAGCCAUGCCGCGUGUAUGAAGAAGGCCUUCGGGUUGUAAAGUACUUUCAGCGGGGAGGAAGGUGUUGUGGUUAAUAACCACAGCAAUUGACGUUACCCGCAGAAGAAGCACCGGCUAACUCCGUGCCAGCAGCCGCGGUAAUACGGAGGGUGCAAGCGUUAAUCGGAAUUACUGGGCGUAAAGCGCACGCAGGCGGUCUGUCAAGUCGGAUGUGAAAUCCCCGGGCUCAACCUGGGAACUGCAUUCGAAACUGGCAGGCUUGAGUCUUGUAGAGGGGGGUAGAAUUCCAGGUGUAGCGGUGAAAUGCGUAGAGAUCUGGAGGAAUACCGGUGGCGAAGGCGGCCCCCUGGACAAAGACUGACGCUCAGGUGCGAAAGCGUGGGGAGCAAACAGGAUUAGAUACCCUGGUAGUCCACGCCGUAAACGAUGUCUACUUGGAGGUUGUGCCCUUGAGGCGUGGCUUCCGGAGCUAACGCGUUAAGUAGACCGCCUGGGGAGUACGGCCGCAAGGUUAAAACUCAAAUGAAUUGACGGGGGCCCGCACAAGCGGUGGAGCAUGUGGUUUAAUUCGAUGCAACGCGAAGAACCUUACCUGGUCUUGACAUCCACAGAACUUUCCAGAGAUGGAUUGGUGCCUUCGGGAACUGUGAGACAGGUGCUGCAUGGCUGUCGUCAGCUCGUGUUGUGAAAUGUUGGGUUAAGUCCCGCAACGAGCGCAACCCUUAUCCUUUGUUGCCAGCGAUUAGGUCGGGAACUCAAAGGAGACUGCCAGUGAUAAACUGGAGGAAGGUGGGGAUGACGUCAAGUCAUCAUGGCCCUUACGACCAGGGCUACACACGUGCUACAAUGGCGCAUACAAAGAGAAGCGACCUCGCGAGAGCAAGCGGACCUCAUAAAGUGCGUCGUAGUCCGGAUUGGAGUCUGCAACUCGACUCCAUGAAGUCGGAAUCGCUAGUAAUCGUGGAUCAGAAUGCCACGGUGAAUACGUUCCCGGGCCUUGUACACACCGCCCGUCACACCAUGGGAGUGGGUUGCAAAAGAAGUAGGUAGCUUAACCUUCGGGAGGGCGCUUACCACUUUGUGAUUCAUGACUGGGGUGAAGUCGUAACAAGGUA
rnacentral:rRNA from 1 species